rnacentral:rRNA from 1 species
AGCGAACGCUGGCGGCAGGCUUAACACAUGCAAGUCGAACGCCCCGCAAGGGGAGUGGCAGACGUGUGAGUAACACGUGGGAACGUACCCUUUGGUUCGGAAUAACUUGGGGAAACUCAAGCUAAUACCGGAUAAGCCCUUAUGGGGAAAGGUUUACUGCCGAAGGAUCGGCCCGCGUCGGAUUCGCUAGUUGGUGAGGUAAUGGCUCACUAAGGCGACGAUCAGUAGCUGGUCUGAGAGGUUGAUCAGCCACACUGGGACUGAGACACGGCCCAGACUCCUACGGGAGGCAGCAGUGGGGAAUAUUGGACAAUGGGGGCAACCCUGAUCCAGCCAUGCCGCGUGAGUGAUGAAGGCCUUAGGGUUGUAAAGCUCUUUUACCUGUGACGAUAAUGACUGUACCGGGAGAAUAAGCCCCGGCUAACUUCGUGCCAGCAGCCGCGGUAA